GCCGCACACGGUGGCCCAUGCCUGUAGUCCCAGCUACUCAGGAGGCUGAGGUGGGAGGAUCACUCGAGCCCAGGAGUUCUGGGCUGCAGUGCGCUAUGCUAAUGAAGUGUCUGCACUAAGUUCAGCAUCAAUAUGGUGGUCUUCCAGGAGCAGGGGACCACCAGGUUGCCUAAGGAGGGGUUAACCAGCCCAGGUUGGAAACGGAGCAGGUCAAAACUCCCAUGCUGAUCAGUAGUGGGAUCGUGUCUGUGAAUAGACACUGCACUUCAGCCUGGGCAACAUAGUAAGACCCCGUCUCU
rnacentral:SRP_RNA from 1 species